rnacentral:lncRNA from 1 species
CUCUUCGCCCCCGGCUCGGUCCUGCCCCGCGUCCCUGCAGUUCACAAAGGGUAAGAGGGCGCCAUUGGGGCUCUGUGGGGCGCCCCCGCUGAGGAUGUUGUCGGCCGCGCUCUCCAUCUCCUCUAUGGUCAUGUCGCAGGCGUCGGCCAGCUCCUGGGUGGUGACCUCGAUGAACUUGGGAUCUUGAGCAAACUGCCCCAGUCCUUCUGAAAUCAAGACCUGAAGGAGCGGGGUGGGAGCCAUGAAGAACCAAAGGAACAUUACUCCUGGAGCCCAGCUCUUCCCUUGAGGGCUAGAGCGAGGGGGUAUCUGGUCUCAUCCUGAGACGUCUCCUCCUGACCCGCCAUGGCUGCCUGGCUCUCCCGGGAGUGGCACCUACAAUAUCCAAGAUGAAGAAAAACAUCAGAAACUGCCAACCUUCCUCCACUUCCUUCAACCUUGCAUGCUGGGCCCACUUUAUCCUCAGACCCCUGAGGGCAUCAGAGAAAGAUCCUGGUCCAUCCUCUCAGAGCCGAGUGCUAAAUCAGUGCCCUGGCUCUGAGCAUCCCAGGCAGGGUAGAAGCAAUUCUCUCUCUCGAGGAGGAGGACUGCAGACUGCCACCCGCCCCGCAGUGGAAGGAAAGAUGAGAGGGGUCGAGAGUGCGCCAUGGCACCACCCACCCUGAAGAUGUCAUCUUCAGAAGCAGCGGACACAGCCUCCUUCAUGGCCUUGUCCAGCUCCUCCUCAGCGGUGAGAUCUCCAGAGAUGGCCCGUCGGAUCUCAGGCCCGAUGUCAUGCAGUGUGCGCAAGCCAGCCUGGAAUCCAAGGGGAGGAUGAGAGAAGCUUGUUUGGCUUGGUACUGGACUUGGGAUGAGAGCUCUUCCUUCUACGUUCCAAGAGAGAAGCUUCUUUGGCUUGGUACUGGACUUGGGAUGACAGCUCUGCUUCUCUGAGGGCCGUCCUGACCAGGGCAAACAGGGUGGCAUUGAACAUGACUGUCCCGUCGCUGUUCAGAGGCAUGUUCAUGGAGACCAGGCGCUGCAGGCGAAGAGAAGCAAAGCUGGUGAUGAUGGCAGGCGGUGCUUAGGGGACCGCAGAACACCGUGGCAGAGUGAUAUGGUUUGGCUCUGUGUCCUCGCCCAAAUCUCAUGUUGAAUUGUAAUCCCCAGAAUUGGAGGUGGGGCCUGAUGGAAGGUGAUUGCAUCAUGGGGUGGAUUUCUCAUAAAUGGUUUGGUACCAUCCCCUUGGUGAGUGAGUACUCAUGAGAUCUGCUUGUUUAAGUAAGUGUGUGGUCCCUCCCCCUUCUCUCUUGCUCCCUGUCUGUCCAUGUGACGUACCUGCCUCCCCUUUGCCUUCCACCAUGAUUGAUUGGAAGCUUCCUGAGGCCUCCCCAGAAGCAGAAUGCUAGUGCCAU